GUGGGGAAUCUUGCGCAAUGGGCGAAAGCCUGACGCAGCCAUGCCGCGUGAAUGAUGAAGGUCUUAGGAUUGUAAAAUUCUUUCACCGGGGACGAUAAUGACGGUACCCGGAGAAGAAGCUCCGGCUAACUUCGUGCCAGCAGCCGCGGUAAUACGAAGGGGGCUAGCGUUGCUCGGAAUUACUGGGCGUAAAGGGCGCGUAGGCGGACAGCUUAGUCAGAGGUGAAAGCCCAGGGCUCAACCUUGGAAUUGCCUUUGAUACUGGCUGUCUUGAGUUUGGGAGAGGGGAGUGGAACUCCGAGUGUAGAGGUGAAAUGCGUAGAUAUUCGGAAGAACACCAGUGGCGAAGGCGACUCACUGGCCCAAUACUGACGCUGAGGCGCGAAAGCGUGGGGAGCAAACAGGAUUAGAAACCCUGGUAGUCC
rnacentral:rRNA from 1 species